rnacentral:miRNA from 1 species
GCCGCGGCGGGGGAGGGGGCUGGGCUGGGCUGGACUCGCUCGGAGCGCGGCGUUGGAAGCUGCCC